AUGGCAAAUUUUCGGGGAGUGCACGGUGAUCUCCCUUGCCAGUAUCUUGGACUGCCUCUAGGGGUACGAAAGCCAAAGAGAGUGCAGGUGCAACCGCUGAUUGAUAAGAUAGCUGGGAAGCUGACGCCCAGGAAAGAAAGAUACCUAAACAGAAUGGGAAGACUGGUGUAUACCAAUUCGGUGGUCACGGCUACAGCAACUUUUUUUCUGACGACCUUCUCACCGGACAAGUGGUUUAUAAAAAAGGUGGACAAAACUACGAAUUUUUUUCCUCUAGGAGGCAGAGGACAAAACAAUAGGGGGAAAGAGUCUGGUAAACUGGAAACAAGUGUGCUCACCGAAGCAAUAUGGAGGGCUCGGGAUCAAAAACAUCGAGUGUUUCAGCAGGGCCUUAAGGCUGCGAUGGGAGUGGUUUAG
rnacentral:rRNA from 1 species